rnacentral:rRNA from 1 species
GACGAACGCUGGCGGCGUGCUUAACACAUGCAAGUCGAGCGGUAAGGCCCUUUCGGGGGUACACGAGCGGCGAACGGGUGAGUAACACGUGGGUGACCUGCCCUCAGCUCUGGGAUAAGCCUGGGAAACCGGGUCUAAUACUGGAUAUGACUCCAUGACGCAUGUUGUGGGGUGGAAAGCCUUGUGCGGCUGAGGAUGGGCCCGCGGCCUAUCAGCUUGUUGGUGGGGUGANGGCCUACCAAGGCGACGACGGGUAGCCGGCCUGAGAGGGCGACCGGCCACACUGGGACUGAGACACGGCCCAGACUCCUACGGGAGGCAGCAGUGGGGAAUCUUGCGCAAUGGGACGAAAGCCUGACGCAGCGACGCCGCGUGAGGGAUGACGGCCUCGG